UUAAGUGCCUGACAAGAGCAUGCUCAAAGAGGCCCGUCACCAUCAUUGUAAUGGACAGGAGCCCUCCAGGGCCUGGCGUCAUCGGCCGCACCCACUUCGACUUAAGCGGCGCGGCCUUUGGUCACAUGGCUGUACGAGGUCGGAGUGCACAGCUUAGGAACCGAGGUGAACUCCGAGUCUCGUAUAGAAGGACCCAUGUAAAUAUCCAGGGAAGAGUAUUGCAUUCCAUGUUAAUGCAGGUUCAACGGCGUAUUGGCUAUCUCUUUUGAUUGAAUUUGAGGAUGGAGAUGGAGAUAUUGGGUCGAUGCAUUUAAGAGAAGCAAAUUCU